CGUUCGGCUCGUGCUUGUCAAUUCUUAGAGGAGCAUGGAUACAAGGUCAUCAAUGUCCAAGGUGGAAUGACGGCCUUUGAAAAUCUUUAAAACUGUAUGGCGAUAGAUCCUAAUCUUCCCUUGCUAGGUUCUAACUGAGUGAGGGCUUGU
rnacentral:sRNA from 1 species